GCUUCAGCUUCAGCCUCAUUAAUGUUCUUCAUGAUCAAUCAUUAUUUCUAUCAGCAUUUCUUAUUUGCUGUUUUUUUUAAAACAAAAACUUAUAAUAAUUACUAACAUUUACUAAGAAAAAAAGGUUUUUAUUUAAGCAACAGUACAGAAAACAUGAUCACCAUUACUACCCCCCCACCGCACGCACACCAUGUGAUCAGACACACAAUCACACAGAAGAAGAAGCACUGCUGUGUCUCAGAGCGUGCAGAGGUGUUCAGCUGUGAAGUCGGAUCGAGGCAAGCAGGUCAGUCAGUCGGUGGACUUUCAGCAGUGACAUGAUGGCAGCAGCAGCACCUGGUGAGUCCAGACAGACUGCAGAUUAUGAUUUCAACAAACCAGAACACAGCAGCUCAGAGUCUGAGGACUGUAAGUCAAACUAACAAUGCUGCACGACAAAAUUAUUUAAACUGUUUGACUCCACAGCUAGUCACAGUCAGUGUUGGGAAGGUUACUUUUAAAACGUAUUCCACUACAGAUUACA